rnacentral:tRNA from 1 species
AAGGAUUUAAGUUAACUGAAACUGUCAGCCUUCAAAGCUAAUUAUAGAUUAUAUCUAAGCCUUA